rnacentral:misc_RNA from 1 species
AACGAGGCCGACCUGCGGCUGAGUUACCUGCGGAGGGAUCAUUACAGAGUUGCAAAACUCCCUAAACCAUUGUGAACGUUACCUAAACCGUUGCUUCGGCGGGCGGCCCGGGUCCUUCCCGGCGCCCCUCGGCCCUCGCGGGCGCCCGCCGGAGGUAAACCAAACUAUUGCAUUGUAUGGCCUCUCUGAGUCUUCUGUACUGAAUAAGUCAAAACUUUCAGCAAUGGAUCUCAGAUCGGA